rnacentral:lncRNA from 1 species
UUCAGGGAAGUGGGUCCUAAAAACUCUUACAUUGCAUACAUAGAAGAUCACAGUGGCAAUGGAACCUUUGUAAAUACAGAGCUUGUAGGGAAAGGAAAACGCCGUCCUUUGAAUAACAAUUCUGAAAUUGCACUGUCACUAAGCAGAAAUAAAGUGGUGCCUGUGGAGAGGUAAAGCUGGCUUUCGAGAGGAAAACAUGUAAGAAAGUAGCCAUAAAGAUCAUCAGCAAAAGGAAGUUUGCUAUUGGUUCAGCAAGAGAGGCAGACCCAGCUCUCAAUGUUGAAACAGAAAUAGAAAUUUUGAAAAAGCUAAAUCAUCCUUGCAUCAUCAAGAUUAAAAACUUUUUUGAUGCAGAAGAUUAUUAUAUUGUUUUGGAAUUGAUGGAAGGGGGAGAGCUGUUUGACAAAGUGGUGGGGAAUAAACGCCUGAAAGAAGCUACCUGCAAGCUCUAUUUUUACCAGAUGCUCUUGGCUGUGCAGGUAAAAGAAGCCCUCAAUUCUUUUGACAGCUGCCUUUCUUUUAGUUGAAUUACUCCCUGAAUUAGGCAGAAAUC